UGUCUGAAAAGCUUCUAGGUUCAGCCGAAAGACACUACCCAUCAUCUCCCUCUCCUCUGUUCUGUGCUCAGUACUGAUACAAUAGAAGUGGAGGCUUAUCACUGUUUUAAUACGUCCAGGUCCUUCUUCAUGCUCCUGCCUCUGUUCGUUUUCUUUUUCGUGCUGCUGUUCUAUCUUGCUGUGCACAUCUGGGUCGUUGGCUGAUAGAAGAAAUCAGGUUGCUGGAGUGGGUGUAUUGAUCGCGAAUCUGAAUCAGUGCUGAGUUCAUUUUUCUUCUCGUGAGUGACAAAAAUCUCAUCUUCUCUUCUUAUUUGGUUGACAGCUUCUUGGUUUCUUCCUCCUUUAUUUUGUUCGUCUAUGGUUGGGAAGUAAAGGAAGAGCUGAUAUGGUGCUGUGGAAGGAUUAAUUCAUGGGUUGAGGCUGAAAUAUUGCUAUAUUCUUCUUCCCCUGUUCAGUUGUAGAUUUAGUUUUCUUCCUCCCUCUAUGUGUGUGCACUGUCGGCUAACUAAGGUCGUGUGGAGGAAGAGGAUCCCAAUAGAAAUUAAAGAAAGAAUAUUUUGGAGAUUUGAAACUGCAACAGAUUUGUUAGCUGACGCUGAUCCCACCAUCGACCUCUAAAAGGCAACUAGCUACAAUGGGUGGACAUUUUGAUUGGCCAAAUUGUCAAACAUCAUGGUGCACAACCGUUGGCCUCACCAUCUUUUGCUAAGACUAAUCAAGCUUUGAACGUUAUUGGGGUGCAAGAGAUAGUUUAUAUGAUGAAAUUAGAGGGUUCUGAGACUUAUUCUAUUGGCAGAGGCACUCAUGACUCCCACCAAUAUGUCUGUCCACAAAUGAUCGAAGCACUUAAAUGUUAUGCAUUUCCUAUGGAGUGUUGCUUGAUAUACUCAACAUUCUUACCACUAGGACUCCCUUCACCAUCACUGAAUCAGACAAGAGAGAGUUGGAAGAAAUUAAAGGAUGCUUGUCUUCUUGGCUUUGAUAAAGACUGGCUUGAAUCCAUCAAGACUAUGGUUUUUAAUUGUGAUUAUGUAACUGAAGUUGAUUGCUUCCAUGAAAUUCUAAAGGGCUUGGACAGUGAUUCCAAGACCAAUGAGGCAAUACUUGCGGCUACAUGCAAUCAGGAGGUAGAGGCAGUGUGAGUGGUCGAAGCGGCUCAAAAGGACUUAGAUGUUGCAUUGCAAGAACAUGUAAAUGUUAUGGCGAAUCACACUCAUCUUCUGAAAGCACGCCAAGACAUUCUAGCAAGGCAAAAUCAAUGCGGGGAAUUAAUUGCUACUAAAAAUAGACAUUUUUUAUUUUAACCUGGGUUUUAUUUUCAUGCUUCAUGGUUUCUUCCCCCUCCCCUUUUUGGUGAUUAAAAGAAGUGCGCAUCAUAUAUUUCAUUUAUUGUCACGAGAAUA